rnacentral:rRNA from 1 species
GGAGCAUGUGGUUUAAUUCGAAGCAACGCGCAGAACUUACCAGCGUUUGACAUGGUAGGACGACUGGCAGAGAUGCCUUUCUUCCCUUCGGGGACCUACACACAGGUGCUGCAUGGCUGUCGUCAGCUCGUGUCGUGAGAUGUUGGGUUAAGUCCCGCAACGAGCGCAACCCUCGACUUUAGUUACCAUCAUUAAGUUGGGUACUUUAAAGUAACCGCCGGUGAUAAGCCGGAGGAAGGUGGGGAUGACGUCAAGUCCUCAUGGCCCUUACGCGCUGGGCUACACACGUGCUACAAUGGCAAGUACAGUGGGCAGCAAUCCCGCGAGGGUGAGCUAAUCUCCAAAACUUGUCUCAGUUCGGAUUGUUCUCUGCAACUCGAGAGCAUGAAGGCGGAAUCGCUAGUAAUCGCGGAUCAGCAUGCCGCGGUGAAUACGUUCCCAGGCCUU